rnacentral:rRNA from 1 species
AGCUUGCUANCUGCUGACGAGCGGCGGACGGGUGAGUAAUGCUUGGGAAUAUGCCUUUGAGUGGGGGACAACAGUUGGAAACGACUGCUAAUACCGCAUAAUGUCUACGGACCAAAGGGGGGGAUCUUCGGACCUCUCGCUCAUAGAUGAGCCCACGUGAGAUUAGCUAGUUGGUAAGGUAAUGGCUUACCAAGGCGACNAUCUCUAGCUGGUUUGAGAGGAUGAUCAGCCACACUGGGACUGAGACACGGCCCAGACUCCUACGGGAGGCAGCAGUGGGGAAUAUUGCACAAUGGGCGAAAGCCUGAUGCAGCCAUGCCGCGUGUGUGAAGAAGGCCUUCGGGUUGUAAAGCACUUUCUGCGAGGAGGAAAGGGUAGUAUUUAAUAAAUGCUAUCUGUGACGUUACUCGCACAAAAAACACCGGCUAACUUCGUGCCAGCAGC